rnacentral:rRNA from 1 species
GAUGAACGCUAGCGGCAGGCUUAACACAUGCAAGUCGAGGGGCAGCACGUCUUCGGAUGGUGGCGACCGGCGCACGGGUGCGUAACGCGUAUACAACCUACCUUAUAGAGGGGAAUAGCCCAGAGAAAUUUGGAUUAAUGCCCCAUAGUAUUAUUGAAUAGCAUUAUUUGAUGAUUAAACAUUUAUGGCUAUAAGAUGGGUAUGCGUUCUAUUAGCUAGAUGGUAAGGUAACGGCUUACCAUGGCGACGAUAGAUAGGGGUCCUGAGAGGGAGAUCCCCCACACUGGUACUGAGACACGGACCAGACUCCUACGGGAGGCAGCAGUGAGGAAUAUUGGACAAUGGGCGAGAGCCUGAUCCAGCCAUGCCGCGUGCAGGAAGACGGCCCUAUGGGUUGUAAACUGCUUUUAUACGGGAAGAAACACUCCUUCGUGAAGGAGCUUGACGGUACCGUAAGAAUAAGGAUCGGCUAACUCCGUGCCAGCAGCCGAC